rnacentral:rRNA from 1 species
UACGUAGGUGGCGAGCGUUGUCCGGAAUCAUUGGGCGUAAAGAGCGCGUAGGCGGCUUGUCAGGUCUGAUGUGAAAUCCCGGGGCUCAACCCCGGACGUGCAUCGGAAACCGGCUUGCUAGAGUCUGGAAGAGGAGAGUGGAAUUCCUGGUGUAGCGGUGAAAUGCGCAGAUAUCAGGAGGAACACCGGUAGCGAAGGCGGCUCUCUAGGACAGUACUGACGCUGAGGCGCGAAAGCUAGGGGAG